UACGAGGGGGGCGAGCGUUGUUCGGAAUUAUUGGGCGUAAAGGGUGCGUAGGCGGUUCCGCAAGUCCUGUGUGAAAUCUUCGGGCUCAACUCGAAGUCUGCACGGGAAACUGCGGGGCUUGAGUGUGGGAGAGGUGAGUGGAAUUCCCGGUGUAGCGGUGAAAUGCGUAGAUAUCGGAAGGAACACCAGUGGCGAAGGCGGUUGCCUGGGGCUUUGCUGACGCUGAUGCGCGAAAGCGUGGGGAGCGAUC
rnacentral:rRNA from 1 species